CACGGCUUCAUGUUUUGCCGCCUUAUCUUAGGAAUAUAUAGCGCAGUCUGCAUGAAAAGAGCUUUGUGUGAGAAUUCCUGGCCAGUUGAAGGGUCAGGGCCUGUGCGUUAUCUGACUGCCAGCAAGAUCACUGGUGUGUCCUCUUAUUUUUAACUUAAAAUAGGAAAAAAAAAAGUGCAUCUUUACAUAUUAAAAAAUCUUCAGGAAUUUUACUGGGAUAAUUAUCCAAAUAAAUUGCAAGCAUUCUAUCCAAAUGGAGCUCUUUCUGAGAUGAAGAGAAUUCUCAAUGUCAAGAUUUGAACAAGAAGAGAAUGGAAUACACAAUAUGGACAUCCAUAAAAAUUCAUCAGAGAGCAUUUUACUACUGAGCUGCAAAGGGAAAAACUUAAAAUGGAUAUGAAAAGUGAAGAAAGUGAUCAUAGGAGAAAACCAUUUCAGAUAUCUGUGGAUAUCUCUCCAGAACUUCAUGUAUAUUUGGAUAAAAGAAAGCUUCGGGCUUUGUAUUUCUUGAAAACCAAGAAAAAUGACAAGAGCACCUCAAAGGCAGCAGCCUCAAGGAGCAGCCAUGGCCCCAGACUUGUCGCACGGAUGCAGAAAACUUAAUGGAGGAGGCUGAGGUCAGAAUGGGAAGAGUUUUUAAAAAAUAAAAAGGGGAGCUAAUAUGUGAGGAACUGAUUGCUGUGCAUUAUUUUCCACUGAACAGACCUUCUUUUAACUUCUAAUCUCAAGCACAUAGCAGCUGUUGUUUUCAUAUUAAAGAUCAGUAAGUGUUUGUUGAAUGAAUGUAUAAAUUCUUCCCCAAUCUCUGUUCCAUGUAAUAAGAACUAAGUUAGCAUUCAAUUAUAAAGAGGACUUAGAAAGUCUGCAGACAUUUUUGAUCAAAAAUCCUUUUAACUGUCUUCUUAUGGUUCCCGGUAACACCUAAGCCCAAAAAACUCAGGUCAUUUCUUGCCUGUACUGUUGCAAUAGCCUCAUAAUAACUAGUCUUCUCCUUUAUCAACCACAGUCGUCUCCGCUACACAAAGAAGAGAGGGUGCUAAUCUAAAGUGUAAAUUAUUUUAAAUCAGCACCCUUCUUGUAAUUUCCCAGUGGUUUUUCCUGUCAUAAGAAUAACAUGCAAAAUUCCUUGCUUGCAAAGCCAGGUAUGACCUUGCCCCGUCUACCUUACUGGCAUCGUCUCUCAUGACUCUUCCCCUUUUUCACUCUCCAUCUUGCCUUUUCCCAACCAUGCCUGCUAGUGAGCCUUAGCCCUUGUGUUUUCUCUGCCAGGGAUGCAUGACUGGCUUCUUUACUUUAUUCUGAUCUCUCUGCUCAAAUGUCAUCUUUUUAGAGAUAGCUUUCCUAAACAUCUUUAAAAGUACCCCAUGAACUGUGAAACACCUUUCCUGCUUUUUCUUCAUAGUACUUAUCACUUCCUGAUAUUAUGUUAGACAACAAGCAAAUAAGUAUAUGCUGUUCCCACUAAAAUAUAAGCUCCAUUUGAACAGGAGCCUUGAUUAUUCCUGAGUAUACCCCUAGUGCCCAGAACCUAGUAGGGCUUUAAUAAAUAUUAGAUUCAUUUGUUGAAUGAAAAAAUGAAUGAAUAAUUGAAUAAAGAUAUCCAGGUAGAGUGUCCGGGCAGCCCAACCUAUGUGAAGCCAGUACAAGAAUGUUUCUGUGACAUAGUGAGCGCAAUUAUUCCUCUAAAUGAUGAACUUGCAUGAGUACACAAGGAUAAAAUUAAGCACGUAGUUUAGAUUUCUGCAAGUCUCUUCCUCAGAUUGAGGAAAAACAAAGAAAUUGAGCUUAUUCUCACCUCAUUCUUACAUGAACUAAAUCCAGAAUAAAGCAUCAUUUAAAUACCAAGCACAUCCCUACCUCAGCCACUCAUGGAAUACUUUAUCUGUAAAGGGACAGAUAGAUAGUAAAUAUUUUUGGCUUUGGGGACCGUACAGUCUGUGUCGCCACUACUCAGCACUUCUGUUGAGGUGUGGAAUCAGCCCUAGACAACACAUAAACAAAUGGGUGUGGCUGUGUUCCAAUAAAAUGUUAUUUAUAAAACUAGGAAAUCAGCAGAUUUAGUCCACAGGCUGUAGUUUGCUGACCCUUGAAUUAGAGAGUCUUCCCCAAAUCCUCUUCCCAAGUUAUUGAAAGAAUGCCCAUAGGACCAUAGCUCCCUCACCUGGUUCUUUCAAGAAAUGAGACAAAUUCAGGGAUGGUUGGAGGGUGGAACGCCUACCUGUGACAUGACUAUUGAGCCUGAUUUCUUUCCUUUUAUCUCUUUAAAGUGAGUCAGGUCUUAACUUUAAACUGUCUCUAAAGUGGCAAUAACUGGGCCAUGUCAAAUACUCCCAAUGACAAAAUUUCUUCUUGGAGAAUGAAUGAGGGUUGCAUACAGUGGUGUGUUGGUAAAUGUUUAGCAACUGGCUCUCUUACUGAUUUCUGUAGUGUAAAUUCUCCCAUCCUGGCCAUCUGAAACUACCAAUAUGAUGUCACUUGAUGUAGAGUUGGGAAAAGACAGUCUCUUGAAUAAGUAUGAGCUGGUUCCAGCCCACUGCUGAACACAUAUUUAAAAGCUACAAUAGCUCUGCUCACUGCCAUUGCAGAGUCUGGAGGAAAGAGUAGCAGGCUUGAUAGGAGCAAUUGGCUGAAUAAUCUUUUGCAAUGCCAAUAAAUAAUGAAAAAGUAUAUAAAUAUAACGCUGUAUAGAAAGCUCUCAAGUUCAGUGUUUGGUUAAAAUACAUACUCAGUAAAUGGUAGCUAUUAUUGUCUUAGUUUAAGUUAUUGCAAGCAUUAAAAUUAAAUGUUUAGCUACAGACUCAAUCCAGUUUUAAUGUCAUUGUGUUAAUAAGGCCUCUUAACAUUGAAGCAACAAAGAUAAAGGAAUUUUUUUGUAGCUAUUCACGAUUCUGCCCAGCUCAAGGUAAAGAUAGCAACAAAAUACUCCAACCAGAAUAAAAGAAGUCUCCACUUGACUGCAGCUCUUCGCAACACUUCACAAGGGUCAAGCUGUGUUAGUUUCCUUCAGUGUUAAACAGAAUGCAUCUUAAGAGAAUAGUUCAAUUAUUGAUUGAAUAGUAGGUUCAAGUUGACUAUAAUCCCAACUAAUACACUCUAAGACCAGGGAUGGGCCGACAGAAGGGUAAAGUUUUCCACUCAAGUCUCGAGGCAAACACUCAGAUAGAAGUAGUAAUAUGGAUGCCUUCUAUUAUUUGGUCACAUACAAUACUGUUCCAGCCCAGUUGUGCAAAACUGGUGAAAUAAAAGGCAAAAAUAUUGACAACAGUUUGGGUAACUGGAUUCCAAAAUGGGCAUCCAUCUAAGAGAAAUUAAUGAAAAAAAAGCAUAUGGACCUUGAAAUACAUUAAUACACAGUUUAGGUUUAAACACUCAGUUUUUAUUAGAAAAGACUAACUUAUCCUGUUUUGAACACUACAAAAGUGCUUUCUGAACCAUUUACUCUCAAACCUCCUCCACCCAUUCCCCUCCAUCUAUAACGCUUUCUGCACAUCUGUAAAAGGUAUGACUUAGUGUUUGGUCUGUGAAAUAAGGUUAAAAAGGAAGCAUUUCUUUUUACAUUCUAGCUAAUGUUGAUAUUUUUCUCAUGCUUCUAUUAGCACAUAAUUCAGAUACAUUAGUUUUGAAGUUUUGAAUCUUCUCUGCUUCUUGAGGGCUCUCUGUUCUAGAUCAACAUGAUCUGUGGAACACCAGCCAAGUCCUGGGCAGAACCCUCCCCGUUGUCCAAAUAUUACUGAAUCAGUUGAGUUUUCUCUGUUGUCAAUGAAUUAUUCCACAUGUUUCUUUGGCUACAUUUUUUUUGGCUUUCUGUUCACAGUAAAUAUAGCCUUUGUUUUUAAAAACUUCUAUUAUGAAAAUUCCAAAUAUAUGCAAAUUAGAGAGAAUAGCAUAAUGAACCUCUAUGUGCUUAUCACACAUAUAGGUUCAACUAAUUAAAUUAUAUCAAUUUAUGGCCAAUCUGGUUUCAUUUAUAACAUCAUUCGCUCAUUCCUAACUCCCUGGAUUAUUUGAUUGACAUGUUUCUAAAGUUCCUUUUAAUCUGUAGGUUCCCCCUCUCAUUUAAUCUUUUGCAACUUAUUCAUUGAUGAAACUGGGUUAUUUGUCCUUUAUUGUUUCUCUCAUUCUGAAAUAUGCUGUAAUGUCAUUAACCAUAUUCUUCUUUCCUGUAUUUUCUGUAAGCUUUGAGCUAGGCAGAAAUAUUUUAAUCAGAUUCCUUUUUUUUUCUUUUAGCAAGAUUUCUUCAUAAAUAAUAUUGUAUGUGUUC
rnacentral:lncRNA from 1 species